rnacentral:rRNA from 1 species
CGCGAAACUGCGAAUGGCUCAUUAUAUAAGUUAUCGUUUAUUUGAUAGUACCUUGCUACUUGGAUAACCGUGGUAAUUCUAGAGCUAAUACAUGCUAAAAAUCCCGACUUCGGAAGGGAUGUAUUUAUUAGAUUAAAAGCCAAUGNCCUCUNGGGCUCUCUGGUGAUUCAUGAUAACUUCUCGAAUCGNNNNGCCUUGCGCCGGCGAUGGUUCAUUCAAAUUUCUUCCCUAUCAACUUUCGAUGUUUGGGUAGUGGCCAAACAUGGUUGCNACGGGUNACGGAGGGUUAGGGCUCGACCCCGGAGAAGGAGCCUGAGAAACGGCUACUACAUCCAAGGAAGGCAGCAGGCGCGCAAAUUACCCAAUCCCGACACGGGGAGGUAGUGACAAUAAAUACUGAUACAGGGCNCUUUCGGGUCUUGUAAUUGGAAUGAGUACAAUUUAAAUCCCUUAACGAGGAACAAUUGGAGGGCAAGUNUGGUGCCAGCAGCCGCGGUAAUUCCAGCUCCAAUAGCGUAUAUUAAAGUUGUUGUGGUUAAAAAGCUCGUAGUUGAACCUUGGGCCUGGCUGGCUGGUCCGCCUCACCGCGUGCACUAGUCCGGCCGGGCCUUUCCCUCUGCGGAGCCCCAUGCCCUUCACUGGGCGUGGCGGGGAAGCAGGACGUUUACUUUGAAAAAAUUAGAGUGCUCCAGGCAGGCGUAUGCUCGAAUACAUUAGCAUGGAAUAAUGAAAUAGGACGCGCGGUUCUAUUUUGUUGGUUUCUGGGACCGCCGUAAUGAUUAAUAGGGACAGUCGGGGGCAUCAGUAUUCAAUUGUCAGAGGUGAAAUUCUUGGAUUUAUUGAAGACUAACAACUGCGAAAGCAUCAGCCAAGGAUGUUUUCAUUAAUCAGGAACGAAAGUUAGGGGAUCGAAGACGAUCAGAUACCGUCGUAGUCUUAACCAUAAACUAUGCCGACUAGGGAUCGGACGAUGUUAUUCAUUGACUCGUUCGGCACCUUACGAGA